rnacentral:rRNA from 1 species
UACAGAGGUCUCAAGCGUUGUUCGGAUUCAUUGGGCGUAAAGGGUGCGUAGGCGGCGCGGUAAGUCGGGUGUGAAAUCUUGGAGCUUAAACUCCGAAACUGCAUUCGAUACUGCCGUGCUUGAGGACUGGAGAGGAGACUGGAAUUUACGGUGUAGCGGUGAAAUGCGUAGAUAUCGUAAGGAAGACCAGUGGCGAAGGCGGGGUCUCUGGACAGUUCCUGACGCUGAGGCACGAAGGUCAGGGGGAGCAAAACGGGG